UACGGAGGAUCCAAGCGUUAUCCGGAUUUAUUGGGUUUAAAGGGUGCGUAGGCGGCUUAUUAAGUCAGUGGUGAAAGCCUGGAGCUUAACUCCAGAACUGCCAUUGAUACUGAUGAGCUUGAGUACAGUUGAGGUGGGCGGAAUGUGUCAUGUAGCGGUGAAAUGCUUAGAUAUGACACAGAACACCAAUUGCGAAGGCAGCUCGCUAAACUGUAACUGACGCUGAGGCACGAAAGCGUGGGUAGCAAACAGG
rnacentral:rRNA from 1 species